AUUGAACGCUGGCGGCAGGCCUAACACAUGCAAGUCGAACGAGUGGCGGACGGGUGAGUAAUGUCUGGGAAAAUGCCUGAUGGAGGGGGAUAACUAUUGGAAACGGUAGCUAAUACCGCAUACCAUCGGAUGUGCCCAGAUGGGAUGAGCUAGUAGGUGGGGUAAAGGCUCACCUAGGCGACGAUCCCUGGCUGGUCUGAGAGGAUGACCAGCGACACUGGAGCUGAGACACGGUCCAGACUCCUACGGGAGGCAGCAGUGUGGAAUAUUGCACAAUGGGCGCAAGCCUGAUGCAGACAUGCCGCAUGUAUGAAGAAGGCCUUCGGGUUGUAAAGUACUUUCAGCGGGCAGGCGUUACCCGCAGAAGAAGUACCGGCUAACUCCGUGCCAGCAGCCGCGGUAAUUC
rnacentral:rRNA from 1 species